UACAGAGGGUGCGAGCGUUGUUCGGAAUUAUUGGGCGUAAAGGGCGCGUAGGCGGUGCGGUAAGUCUGCAGUGAAAUCUCUGGGCUCAACUCAGAGUCUGCUGUGGAAACUGCCGUGCUUGAGUGUGGGAGAGGUGAGUGGAAUUCCCGGUGUAGCGAUGAAAUGCGUAGAUAUCGGGAGGAACACCUGUGGCGAAAGCGGCUCACUGGACCACAACUGACGCUGAGGCGCGAAAGCUAGGGGAGCAAACAGG
rnacentral:rRNA from 1 species